UGAUGGUAGUAGCUAACUUUCACAAGUUGCCAACUAUAUCCAAACAAAGAAAAUAUUGAAUAGCCAAUGAAACUAUUUCUGGAAGUCACUUUCAUUUUCUGGAUGUGAAUACUCAGUGAGUAUGUUGUGACGUGGAGCUCUGCUAACCUCGUUUGGUCCUGCAUAUUGCCCAAUUCAUGAAUCAUUUUUUGCUCACUUAAAAUUCGUUCAAUGUUUUAUGUUGGCUCUUUUUUUAAAAAAAAAUCUGUUUAUUUGUGAGACAGAAAUGAGAGAGAGAGAGAGAGAGACAGAGACAGAGAGAGAGAGAGAGAGAGAGAGAGAAAACCCCCAUCUACUAGUUUACGCUCCAAUUGCCCGGGAAAGCUAUGGCUGGAUCAAGACUGAAGCUGAUGGCCAGGGACUGUGAGACAGAGAUGGGGAGACAGCAAGACAAAGAGAUUUUGCAUACAUUUACUCCCCAAUUUCCCACAACACCCAGUGCUGAGUCUGCCUGAGGCCAGGAACCUAGAACUCAAUUCAAGUCUUGAUCUAGGUGGCAUGGACCCAAGUACCUGAUGCCUCCCACAGUGUGUAUUAACAGAAAUCUGGAUUGGAAGCAGAAGAACUGGGACUCAAAUUAGAUAUUCCAAUAUAGAAUGCAGAGUGGACAGUGAGAGAGACAGAGAGAAAGGUCUUCCUUUGCCGUUGGUUCACCCUCCAAUGGCCGCCACGGCUGGCGCGCUGCAGCCUGCGCACCACGCUGAUCCGAAGGCGGGAGCCAGGUGCUUCUCCUGGUCUCCCAUGGGGUGCAGGGCCCAAGCACUUGGGCCAUCCUCCACUGCACUCCCAGGCCACAGCAGAGAGCUGGCCUGGAAGAGGGGCAACCGGGACAGAAUCCAGUGCCCCGACCGGGACUAGAACCCUGUGUGCCGGUGCCGCAAGGCGGAGGAUUAGCCUGUUGAGCCACGGCCAGCCGGAAUAGAAGGAUUUUUAAGAAAUAUUCAUAAAGAUCUUAAAAUUUUUAAGAUGAUACAAUUAUUUAUUGGGGACCCAAAGAACUCUACUAAGAGAUUAUUGGAACUCAUAGAAGAUAUUCGCAAAGUAGCAGGAUAUAAAAUCAAUGUACAAAAAUCAACAUCCUUUGUAUACACAGGCAAUGCCGCGGCUAAGGAAAAAUGUCUAAGAUCAAUCCCAUUCACAAUAGCUACAAAAACAAUCAAAUACCUUGGAAUAAAUUUAACCAAGGAUGUUAAGGAUCUCUACGAUGAAAAUUACAAAACCUUAAAGAAAGAAAUAGAAGAGGAUACCAAGAAAUGGAAAAAUCUUCCAUGCUCAUGGAUUGGAAGAAUCAAUAUCAUCAAAAUGUCCAUUCUCCCAAAAGCAAUUUACAGAUUCAAUGCAAUACCAAUCAAGAUACCGAAGACCUUCUUCUCAGAUCUGGAAAAAAUGAUGCUGAAAUUCAUAUGGAGACACAGGAGACCUCGAAUAGCUAAAGCAAUCUUGUACAACAAAAACAAAGCUGGAGGCAUCACAAUACCAGAUUUCAGGACAUACUACAGGGCAGUUGUAAUCAAAACAGCAUGGUGCUGGUACAGAAACAGAUGGAUAGGCCAAUGGAACAGAAUAGAAACACCAGAAAUCAAUCCAAACAUCUACAGCCAACUUAUAUUUGAUCAAGGAUCUAAAACCAAUUCCUGGAGCAAGGACAGUCUAUUCAAUAAAUGGUGCUGGGAAAAUUGGAUUUCCAUGUGCAGAAUCAUGAAGCAAGACCCUACCUUUCACCUUACACAAAAAUUCACUCAACAUGGAUUAAAGUCUUAAAUCUACUACCUGAUACCAUCAAAUUAUUAGAGAGCAUUGGAAAAACCCUGCAAGAUAUAGGUACCGGCAAUGACUUCUUGGAAAACACCCCAGAAGCACAGGCAGUCAAAGCCAAAAUUAAUAUUUGGGAUUGUAUCAAAUUGAGAAGUUUCUGUACUGCAAAAGAAACAGUCAGGAAAGUGAAGAGGCAACCAACAGAAUGGGAAAAUAUAUUUGCAAACUAUGCAACUGAUAAAGGGUUGAUAACAAGAAUCUACAAAGAAAUCAAGAAACUCCACAACAUCAAAACAACCCACUCAAGAGAUGGGCCAAGGACCUCAAUAGACAUUUUGCAAAAGAGGAAAUCCAAAUGGCCAACAGAUACAUGAAAAAAAUCAUUAACAAUCAGGGAAAUGCAAAUCAAAACCACAAUGAGGUUUCACCUCACCCUAGUUAGAAUGGCUCAAUCCUGUUGAUUUCUUCUCUGAUUUUAAUUAUUUCUCUUCUCCUACUAGAUUUGGGUCUGGUUUGCUGUAGGUUUUCUAGAUCCUUGAGGUGAAGUGAAAGCUCAUCUAUUUGGUGCCUUUCCAAUUUCUUGAUGUAGGCACCUAUUGAUAUAAACUUUCCUCUUAACACUGCUUUUGCUGUGUCCCAUAAGUUUUGGUAUGUUGUGCUGUUAUCCUCAUUUACUUCCAGAAAAAUUUUGAUUUCUCUUUUAAUUUCUUCUAUGACCCAUUGUUCAUUCAGGAGCAUGUUGUUCAAUCUCCAUGUGUUUGCAUAUGCUCUAGGGAUUCCUGAGUUGCUAAUUUCCAACUUCAUUCCUUUAUGGUCUGAGAAGCUGCAUGGUAUGAUUCUAAUUCUUUUGAAUUUGCUGAGACUUGCUUUAUGGCCUAGUAUGUGGUCAAUCCUAGAGAAGGUUCCAUGUACUGCUGAGAAGAAUGUAAAAUCUUUAGCUGUAGGAUUGAAAGUUCUGUAUAUAUCUGUUAGAUCCAUUUGGGCUAUAGUGUCGUUUAAAUCUACUGUAUCCUUGUUGAUCGUCUGUCCUGUUGAUCUGUCUAUUUCUGAGAGUGGAGUAUUGAAGUCCCCAGGUACUAUUGUAUUGGGGUCUAAGUCUCCCUUUAAGUCCCUUAACAAAUCUUUUAGAUAAACCGGUGCCCUGUAGUUAGGUGCAUAUACAUUGAUAAUUGUUAUAUCUUCCUGUUGAAUAGAUCCCUUAAUCAUUAUAUAGUGUCCCUCUUUGUCUCUCUUAACAGUUUUUGUGGUAAAGUUUAUGUUGUCCGAUAUUAAGAUGGCUACGUCCACUCUUUUUUCAUUUCUGUUGGCAUGGCAUAUCUUUUUCCAGCCUUUCACUUUCAGUCUGUUUGGAUCUUUGUUGGAAAGAUGUGUUUCUUGUAAGCAGCAAAUAGAUGGGUUUUGUUCCUUAACCCAAUCAGCCAAUCGGUGUCUUUUAACUGGACAGUUCAGGCCAUUAAUGUUCAAUGUGACUAUUGAUAAGUGGUAACAUUGUCCUGCCAUUUGCCAAAGAUAAGUUCUAAUAUAUGCUUUGAAUUCCCUGUGAUCUUUUGCUGUGAGGUUUCCUUCCUUUACCUUCUUACAUAUUGAUGACCGUGUUUCUGUGUUUCUGUGUGUAACACAUCUUUAAGCAUCUGUUGCAGGGCUGGACAAGUGGCGACAAAUUCUUUCAAUUUCUGUUUGCUAUGAAAAGUCUUUAUUUCACCUUCAUUCACAAAUGAUAGCUUUGCAGGAUAUAAUAUUCUGGGCUGGCAGUUUUUCUCUCUUAGUACCCGGGAUAUAUCUCGCCAUUCCCUCCUAGCUUGUAGGGUUUCUGAUGAGAAGUCAGCUGUGAGUCUGAUUGGAGAUUCUCUGAGAGUAAUCUGACGUUUCUCUUGCACAUUUUAGGAUCUUUUCUUUAUGUUUCACUGUGGUGAGUUUAAUUACAACGUGUCGUGGUGAGGAUCUCUUUUGGUCAUGUUUAUUAGGGGUUCUAUGAGCUUCCUGUACUAGGAUUUCUCUGUCCUUCUUCAAACCUGGGAAAUUUUCUGCUAAUAUCUCACUAAAAAGACCUUCUAAUCCUUUCUCUCUCUCCAUGCCUUCAGGAAUUCCUAGAACCCGAAUGUUGGGUUUUUUAAUAGUAUCCUGCAGAUUCCCAACAAUAUGUUUUAGAUUUCUAAUUUCCUCUUCUUUUCUUUGGUCUGACUGUAUCCUUUCCUGUUCUCUGUCUUCUAAGUCCGAUAUUCUCUCUUCUGCUUCACCCAUUCUGUUUGUAAGGCUCUCUAAUGUGUUUUUUAUUUGAUCUAUUGAAUUCUUCACUUCAUUAUGAUUUCUCGUCACUAUCAUAGUUUCCUGUUGUACUAGUUUUUUCAUUUCAUUUUGAUUCCUCCUUAAUAUUUCAUUUUCACGAGAGAGAUUUUCUAUCUUGUCCAUUAAGGAUUUCUGUAGUUCAAGAAUUUGUUUUUGAGAACUUCUUAAUGUUCUUAUCAAUUUUUUGAGAUCUGCUUCUUGCAUUUCUUCUAUCUCAUCAUCUUCAUAAUCUUGAAUUGGGGUGUCUUUUUCAUUUGGGGACGUCAUAUUGACUUCCUUGUUUUUAUUACCUUGGUUUUUGCAUUUGUUAUUUGGCAUAUUGGAGAUAUUUGGUUUCUUCACUGUGGUGCUUUUUCUUGUUAUACUAUGACUCUAGAUUAAGUGGACUGUCUGUUUUUGAUGGAGCCUUAAAAGCUUGAGAUGGGUGUGGCCUGAGAGCUCUGUUUGGUGUGCCAAAGGUGACACUCCCAGGUUAGGCGUGGUAGAUCUCUCUCUCUCUCUUUCUUUCUUUUUUUGAUUCAAAAGGGAAGUAAUUCUGCACAGCUGAACGAAGUUGGAGGUAGUUAUCAGGCAAAUGAUGUACCCACAGGAGCCAGAGAUCGGAAGCUCUUUCCCAAGGACCACACAGGGAAUCUGUUCUGCCCUCAGAGUGGGCUCAAAUUCUCCUUAAGUCUCCCACUGGGUUGCCAAAGUUACAGAAUUGUAGUGUCUCUGGUGAGUACUCACGUGAAUUCCGUGAGUUCUCUCCCCCACCGUCUCUUUUUUCACAGUCUCAGUUCAGUAGCACCACAAAUUUACUAGGUCCUAAUCUCCUGUUAAUUCACCCCACCCAGAGUCAGGUUUUUCUGCUAGGCUCAGGGCCGGUGCAGACCUGAGGUCACCCUGCUUGUGACGUAUGUCCAAGAUGGUGCCUGCUCUUUGUCUUGCUCGCCUUUGAGAGGUGAGCGGAGAGAGAGAAACCCGUGUCUGUAUCAGUCACUUUUUUUUCCUCUCUCUCUCUUCCAGUUAGCCUGGUGAAGUUCCCCCCCCCCCGGGGGUCGUUCCCUCUAGUCUCCUCUCUCCGCUUGCCUGCUGGUGUCUCGGGCUAUUGAGGUUCGGCUCACCUCGCCUUCCAGUGCUGGUGUGUUGAGUCUGCUGCUGGUGUCCCGAACUGUGGGCUCCCACGCUCUCCACGCAGGUCCACUGUGAAUCACGCGUUCUGGAAGAGUUUCUGCUGCUGUUUCCUCCCCUACUCUUCCUUGAAUCUGCAGUAUCUCCACUUUUAUUAAACUGUCUCUCCCCAGACUAUCCGUGUGCUCCCUUCCUAUUCUGCCAUCUUGCCUCCUCUCUUAAAAAAUCUCAAAAUUAAGACAUUUUCUAAAUAAUACAUCAAAUUUUAACCUUAAUUACUUUAAAGUACUGUUGAAUUAUUUUCCUACAUGAACUGUUUAUGAAAACAUUUCUGUUAACAAACUCAAAUAGUUUUUUCAUAGAAUAUAAGGUGCUAAGAGUAGCAAAGUUUACAUUUAUACACAUUUAUCUCAUUUAUUUUUAUUCAAUUUACAUUCAGUGAUUACACCUAGAUGACUUAAGAUGCUGAUAUUAUACCAUAUGUUUAUCUGAAUUAGGUCAAAUUUAUAUCUACUCAGAAUUCUACUCUUUUUAUAAAACUCUGUCUGGAAAUCAGUGACAUAAACCAGAGACUGCAAAACCCACCUUAGAGCUAAUUACUCAUUGCUGUUUUUCAUCCAGAUCUGUAAAAACCAAGUCACAGAACAAGUUUGGCAAGUUACAAGGCAAUUUUUAAGGCAGUUAUCUUUCUAGAUUCAAAAGAGAGAAAUUCUUGAAUAUACAUUUCAGAAGUGUCAACAUAGAUGGAUCAGUACCCAUGUUUGAUGGAAGGGACAGAAAGAUUCCAGAGACAAGGGAAUAAAGGAGACAGGCAGGACAAUUAAAAGAAUUUACCUUCUGGGAUUUUGGAUGCAAACAGUACAUUGGAAAGUGGCCACGAAACAGGAACAUAAACCAAUUAUAUCCAUGAGGCAUUAAUAAGCCUUUCUUUAGCCGGACCAGAAUCUCCUGCCCUAAUGUUUCAAGUAGGAGACAGAGACAAGAAUAACAGUGAUGACAACUAGCACAAUGACAAAAACAAAUUAUAUGCAGGAAAGGCCUUUGUUUAAUCAGACCAGAGUCUCCCAUCCUAACACAGAAAUGCUCAAAAGGAAAGGAGACUGUAUUAGUGUCUCAUCAGACCUCCAAUACCCCAAAGAAAUGUCUACUUACAAGUGGGAUUAACGCAAUUGUUCACUGAGGUGGAGCCGAGCCUCCCAGGUCAGUGAGUCAGGACAUGGGACUCAGGAAGCACCUCCCCUCUGUCCAGAGCACCAACCUGGGAGGAUUGGAGAGAGGUCUUCCAGAGAGUGGUCUCCAUAUCUCGCUGGGGCCUCCAAAAUGUUGUAACUGAGCAAAUUCAAACAGAGGAGCACCACACAUUGAUAAAAUUUGCCAGUUAUUUAUUGCUGGUGGUGGAGAGCAAUCUUACACCCUAAAGAACUCUCGACCCUGAAACUCAAAACAACAGGGUUUAUAAAGACAAAACCACAAGAAGGGGAGGGGGAAUACAUGGUGCUAGGAUCAGGGGAAUACAUGGUUACUAAGGUCAAGUUGACCUAAAGCCUUUGAAAAACUAAUAUCAAUUUCAAUCUUGUAAUGGACAAAUUACAACCUUAAUAUUAAUCAAGGUAUAGGCUAUCUGUUUUAAGAUUUAUUUAUUUAUUUAAAAGGCAGAGAUACAGAGAGGCAGAGGCAGAGAGAGAGAGAGAGAUCUUCCAUCUGCUGGUUCACUCCCCAACUAGCUGCAAUGGCUGGAGCUAUGCCAAUCCGAAGCCAAGACCCAGGAGCUUCCUCUAGGUCCCCCAUGUGGGUGCAGGAGACCAAGGACUUGGGCCAUCUUCUACUGUUUUUCCAGGCCAUAGCAGAGAGCUGGAUUGGAAGUGGGACUCAAAUCAGCACUCAUAUGGGAUCUUGGAACUGCAGGUAGCAGCAGCUUUACCCACUAUUCCACAGUGCCAGCCCCUAGGCUUUCUGUUUUAAGCUUGAGCAAGCAUACUAGGCAAUUUCUGUGUUCUUCCAAGUGGGAUGCAGUGUAUCAUUAUUGUCUAAGUGUUAAGAUCAUAGUUUCAGACCAGAGUCUUAUAGUGGGGGCAUGCUUUCUCAAGAUGGAGUCCCUGGAGUCCCAGGUGUUCUAAAAUGGAGUCCCUUCUGUCAAGGUGUUACUUCAUUAUUAAUGUUAAGGUGCCUAGGUAGACAUUAGAUUAAGGUGCAUAAAAGAAGCUGAAGAUAAUAGGAAAUUUUUGAGGAAAGUUGGCAGUGGAAUGACAAAAGAAAUGUAGAAGCAUGCCUUGGAAACAGUCCAGCGUUACACAUCAAAAGUCUUGCCUUGUUUGAUAACUUUGUAAAGUGAGUCUCAGUCCUCUCCCAGGGACAGUUUAGAGGGAUCUUCCUCACUCUGCACCAAGGGGGCAGUUAGGUCCAUGAUGAUGCUCUGGGAGGAAUUUUAGAAAUUCCAUGCCCAGAAAGUCCUCCGACUACUUUUGCUGGCUUAACACUCUUUGAUCCUGGUGUCAGGUUGCAAAUAUACUCAUGAUCUACAGGAUCAAGGGACACAGAUGUUGGAGGUGGAAGGUCAAAGUCAGAGGCAGGUGAGGACAUCUACUUCUGCUGCUUUGGCCUUCUCACAUCCCUAGAGUAACAAGAUGACACACACUCACAAUUCAGGGGUUCAAGGGAUACCUUGAAUCAAACACAAGUGGAAUAAGGGAGCCUUGGAGGGCUUCUUUUUCCCUUUCAUUUCACUUUGAGUGCUAGGGAAUGCUCUGAGUAAUGGAUCUGAGAUGUGGACACUGGGAUCCAUUUGCUCCUCACCCCUUAAAAAGAAUAAAAGCAGAUUGCUCAAAGAUGGCCUACUGGCAUACAUGAAAUAAAGACCAACCCAGGGAGACAGCAGCUAAAACUAACCUUGAGAAACACAUGAGGUAUUAUCCCUGACCAGAGACCCCAGCGAUAUCUCUCAGCCCAGGAUGGCAGCAUCUUUUCUCCCAGGACCUCUGUUAGGUGGCAGGUGUCUCCAUCACAAUGACUCCUUCUCUCCUCUAAAAAUUUGAAUGUAAGAUAACAGCCCAAAUUAAACUCAGAGACAUAAACUUUCACAGAGGUCCACUCCUCUGUCUUAAUGGAAUGUAUUUUUGCUUUGUUGCCCUGGGAAGAGGUUCUGUACUUGUUUUUCUUGGACUUUAAGUUGAGCCCUUUCUAGAGGUCCACUUCUACUCUCCUUGUGAAAUCCUUACUGCCUAUCCUUACUGCUUAAGCCCUAUUUGGGGAACCUCAAAAGUUUUCAUAUGCUUCUUCCUUUCCUAUCACUGUCUCAUUUUGGCAACAGCCUCAUUGUGGGCACAAGUUGGACAGUUAAAUGCCAAAAAGACACUGCCUCUGGAAAUCCCCUGUGUCAGGAUUACCUGGUUGUAGCCUAGAUGGAUCCUAGCCUCUACCAUGCACAAGGCAAAGCCAUGGUCUGUGAAAGUAUAUAUUGUCUCCUGUGGCUCUCAAUUGUCACCAUUAGGGUACACAUUGCUAUUCCUCAAACUUGUCUUCCAUUGUUUAUCUGGGGAUAUUAAAUCAGAGUAAAGCUGAACUGAAGGUCGUUGGUUAGGGCAACUUCCUAAUAAGGCAAGAUGGCCCUCAUAUUUGAAACACUAAGUAUCUGUUGGCUAGAAUCAUUGAGUGACUUUUUUUUUUUAAAUGUCUUUCUCUGUCUUUAAUCCUAGGACCUCCCUUUGUCUCCUACAAAGUUUGAAAGCCUUUCCUUUCUUCUCUUUGCUCAUUACCUUUUUUGAAACAAUCUUGGAUAUUCUGACUUAUUCUUGGCAAGAGAACAAUUAAAAUGAUAAAUAUGCUUGUCUAAUAUCUUGGUUUCUUUAUCUAUAUAUAAUUGCCAAGUACAAAUUGGGUAAAGAUGAAAUAGUGUUUUAAAAAUCACCUUAAGUACCCAUGGUGUCUUAGAUUCUAUGUAAAGUACUACUUGGGUCUGUUGAAAAGCAUGUUUUUAUGUUGUUAUAUGAAUAACAAUUCAAGACUACUUUAAAAGGACUACAUGGUCUGUCCAAAAAAAAAAAAAAUGUAAUUGUUCAUUGUUUAGGCUGGCUAACCUUGAGAGUUCUCUGGGUCUGCCAUUACCAUAUAACUUCAUUUUUUUUAACAUACUAACUUGAUUUUAAUUUUUAUUUUGAACAGUGUGUUUAUGGUCUGUCAGAGUUCUAAGUACAACUACCAGUGGGAUAAUGAUGGCCUGACAUUUUUAGAUAAACAGUAAAUUCCAGAAAUAAUCAGCCUAAGAUCCACUUUUCCUAAAACCUCUUUAUUGCUCAAAUGUAGAUGAAAGUGUUUCUGACUCCAGGCCAUCAAUUCCCUCCCUCUCAGCAUGGGACCAGAUAACACCAAACAACCAGGACCAAGUACAUCCAGCAACCUAGGACAAAUAGAGUCUAGCUGUAAAAUGACUAGUCAAUGGUGCUUUCAAGAAAAAGAUGACAAGGAGGGAAUAUGGGAGUUAAGAUAAAAUCUUUGGUGUCAACCCUAAACCAAUACAUAAAGCUGAGAGGUUAUGGAAGAAGGCUUCUUAUGCAUUGUUGUCUUAUAGCUGUCCUUGUUAUAACAGUUCCCUAAAAUGCUCUAAAUGUAUUUAUAAUUGCUCAAGGGCAAACUUAAAUGGGUCGUUGAGUGAGUAGUUAAUGGAAGAGCUUUAAGUAUUUUAGGUCUACAAGAACUUCCAGAAUCCAAUGGCAGCUACUACUGAGAAAAUUUGGAAGAUGGAAAUUUUGGUUAUGAUCUCUCCUAUCUCUUUUUCUAUAUGUCCUCCUUAUCAUAUUCUUGAUCCUACUCUUUAGCCCAUUCCUCCUUAACUGUCCUACUAACAUAAUUUCCUUUUGUCUAAUCAAACUGGGUGGUCAUGAAACUGGAACCUCGCAUGCAGAAUUUGUUCUACAGGAGACUCCAAGAUAGGACUCUGAAAGAACCCUGACCCAUCCCUCAAUACUGUACUUUUCCAGCUUGAGACAGUCAGAGCAGUUGUUUCCUUUUUCCCUUAUGACAAUUAGGGACAUCUCUUCAGAAGGGGGAAUUAUGGAGAUGAGAGACAGAUAUGUUGUUCAUCCAGACAGGUAGAGAAGAACAAGAGGUCCAAAGAAAGAAUAAUGCAAUCACCAGAAUCACUGGAUGAGGUGACAUCUGCCAAAUGCUAACACCACUGUGGACUUGGUAGGGUACUAUUGAGUUCCCUACGCAAAAUGGGCUACCCCAGUUCUGAGCUCUGAGUGAUUCUGAUCUCUGAGUGGCUCAGGAAGAGUGCUUCAGUUUUGCAGGGUUAUGAUGGGGAAAGAGACAGAAAGCGAG